AAAGGGGAAAGUGGUCUAGCCACUUCACCGGAUCCACGCCAGGGCUUGCCAAUCCACUGGAUUCUCCCCGGACCAAUCUCUGCGACUCGGGAUGGCAGCUGGUCUACAGAACUGCACAUCUAUGCUGAACAGGCUAAUCCUACUCAAGACUUGACCAGUUCCAGCUUUGAGCCACGUGAAGGCCAACUGCCCUGAGAUGAUGAGCUCCUGCUUCCAAAUUGGUUUGUUUUGUUUUUGCCUUUUAAAAACCGUCUUGAGUUUAUUAUGGCCAAAGGCUAGGUGAGCGGGGAACCUGCUCAUAGCCGACCUUGAGAAAUGUAGGCAGAACGUCCAUUGGCAGCAGAGAGCUGAGGAAGUGUUGGGCUGAGCCUUACAAGAGAUGCUGCAGCAGAAGCCUGAGCUCUCCCUUCUGAUGGCUGGCUGGGAAGUCAGACACUAUUCUCGGAGGUCCAACUUCACAGCGAGGAAGGCAAGACAUCUAAACAGAAGGUCACUUUCCCUUAGAUUGCUUCUAAGGCUUAGAAGAACAGAAGGAACAUAAAUGCCUUUAAUUUGCAGGCUGAGUUGGAUGAAAGGAGGUCUUAAGGCUCUCAGAGGCCGUCUCAGCUGAAUUAUGGAGCUGCUCCCUAAGAGACAAACCUCAGCCAAUUCUCUAAAAGGACCAUCUGGGCGGUCAAGAGCUGAACGCCGCUUGGUUUUCCCUUCUCCUUGCUUUGACUGGGACCCAAAAUAUGACAGUCGUCUGAUUCAAAUGUAGGGGGGCGUUUCUCGUUCCCGGAUGUCCUCCCAAAGGCAGAUGCCCAUGCCCUUACCCGCGGCGCGUGAAUACGAAGGGAGGCACUGCUCGGGCUCGAGACCGCACCAGAGACUGCUCGGAGCCUGCCGCCUCUGGGCCGCCGCCCCCCGGAGUGGAGGCAAAGGGCCAGAGGCCCCGAGCUUUGGAGCCGCUGGCGCCCAUGUCAGCGCCGCGGGCGCAUGGCGGACCCAGCGGCCGCUCCGCUCUCACAGCGCGGCGGGCGCGACCAUGCCCUGCCCCAGCUUCCACUCGCAGGUGCCGCCGCCACCACCGCCUUCCGCAGGCUCUGCUGUCUCCACGGAAACCUCACUUCCGCUUCCGCACGUCCUGCACGGUGCCUCCUCUGAGUGGCUAAAGGUCUCGUCAGUCUGGGGUGUAGAACCAAUGGCCACUCUCAGAGGCUGACCACCACAGGAUGCGCUGCCUCCAGGUCCCAGAAGCCUGUGGGUCCCAAGGGUCAGCUGGGACAGCUCCCUUCCAGAAAGGCGGAGGUAAUGUGUUGUUGACUUUAAGGUCGGACCGGGUAUAAUUGUCCCUACGUCCCUGACGCUGCCUAAAACUUGGGCCCAGUAGCAAUAGUCAAUUAGGUCACCCCUUCACCCCUAAAGGACCUUAGGCCUGCCUGAGGGUAAGGUAAGGUUAGCUGUUUUCACAACUGGGUGUCUUUGCAGUUGUCACAUUUGCCUGUAAAGAAAUUACAGAACCUG
rnacentral:lncRNA from 1 species